rnacentral:rRNA from 1 species
AGCGAACGCUGGCGGCAGGCUUAACACAUGCAAGUCGAGCGGGCCUUACGGGGUCAGCGGCGGACGGGUGAGUAACGCGUGGGAACGUGCCCUCUGGUUCGGAAUAACUCAGGGAAACUUGAGCUAAUACCGGAUACGCCCUUUUGGGGAAAGGCUUGCUGCCGGAGGAUCGGCCCGCGUCUGAUUAGCUAGUUGGUGAGGUAACGGCUCGCCAAGGCGACGAUCAGUAGCUGGUCUGAGAGGAUGAUCAGCCACACUGGGACUGAGACACGGCCCAGACUCCUACGGGAAGCAGCAGUGGGGAAUAUUGGACAAUGGGCGCAAGCCUGAUCCAGCCAUGCCGCGUGAGUGAUGAAGGCCUUAGGGUUGUAAAGCUCUUUUAUCCGGGACGAUAAUGACGGUACCGGAGGAAUAAGCCCCGGCUAACUUCGUG